UAGUGCAUUUAUAGUAAGUGUUUGUUUUGUUGAUGUUACCGUGAAAUAUGAUUUUGUUGUUGAUGCAUAUCUGAGAUCUCAUUUCUAGCAUUUCUGAUUAAUUUCUUUGAUUAUGAUAACAGGAAACUGUCAUCCAGGGUUUCAUCCCAGCUGGGAGGAUAGACACUUAUUUGCCACACAUGAGGGCUGGUGGGAUUUAGAGACUCAACACUUUUUACGGGUCUAACAACAAGACUUUGUAUCAUGUUGCAGAGUCAAGUUUCACCGUCACAUUCUCAACGACUUCUGUCCUCUCUGAUCUAGAUGACAGUUCGGUAUGUUUCCCUGAGGAUCGUUUUAGGUUCUAUGGAUAUGAAGAGUUCGAUGCUGCUUGCGACUUGAAAGGAGACCUUUAUGGUAAGGUCUCACUGUUAUAUAUAAGAUAAUGAUAAUAUAUUUCGAUCAAAUAUAUUCAACAUUUUUGGUUACACUGUGUGUUAAUGAUAUAUAAAGCAUUGAUAAUGUUUUUUGUUUUGCAGAUUAUAUUGGCCAUAUCAAGCUUGUGAAUGGGCAGGUUCUCGGUGACAAUCUCGUGCUAGAUGAUGCAGAUAUAGCUUCUUCGCGCAGAGUUAUGCUCCAUGUUCAAACACAUGACGGUCCGGUGAUGAAGUUGUACCUAUGGGACAAGGCUGCCUCUGAAUUUUGUGAGAGAUUCAAAGCAUCUGGGGGAACUGCACGUGUUAUUUUAGUCACUACCUUGAACCCAAAGCGUCUUGGAGGUGCUCUGGCUCUAUCUUCCAUGGCGCCAUCACGUGUGUUUUUGGACACUGAUGUCCAAGCAACCCGAGAUUAUCUCAAUUGGUAAUCUUUCAUUUAUUUAUAAAUUGUUAAUCCUUAUUCCAUCAGUGUUUUUUUGAAGUUUGUUCGUUGGCUUCAGGAUGAACACGAAUCUAGAUGUUGCUAACAGAGUUAACGCAGACAUUGUCACUAAAACUGAAACAGUGACCAUAGGCGAGCUAUUUUCUUAUAUGAAGCAGGAAGAUGCGAAGGUUGUUCCGUACUAAUUGGUAACGCAUCUAAUAUGAUUAUCUUGGUUGCUUAUUAAAUCGUUUAGCGUUUUGCAGGUUGCUUGGUUUGAGUGCAUAGCAACUGUUGGAGAUGUUGUGCACGGUUCGUCAUGGUAUUACAUCGGCUGUGGUGUGUGCCACACUAAGGCAACCAAAGGACCUACCAGCCUAAUGUGCAAGAAGUGUGGGAAAACCAGUAUUGUUGGUGUUGCACAGUAAGUGACUCAGCUCUACUUAAACUCAUACUCAAUGCACCAUUCUUAAUCUGUGUGUGACACAGGUACCUGACGAAGAUCUCCGUGUAUGAUAAUGAUGAUCAAGCGUCUCUUGUGCUUCUUGGUGAUGCUGGACAUGAGUUAUCUGGAAAGAAAGCUUCUGAAUUGGUUGAUGAUUAUUUCGAGGUAAUACAGCCCCGUUUGCCUUUGUUAUUUAAAUCUGUAAUUCCAAGAUAAUUUGAGGUAUAUAGUUACAGUUGAUUACCUUAUUUUAGGCCAACGAGGAUGUAGGAGGUGAUCACUUGGUUCCGGUACCUCAAGCUCUCAUCGAUACCAUUGGACAGACUCGCAAAUUCGUUGUGAAAGUGUCGAAACACAAUUUGACUGGCCAGACUCAAUCUUUGACUGUGACAAAGGUGCUACUCUAGAAGUCCCGAAAGUUGAGGCCAAUUUGGAAGGAAACGUGGCUGUACCAGACACACGUGAAACUUUGGAUAAGGAAGAUGCUGAUGACGAUCCUUCCACAUGCUUUGGGAGUGUGAAGAGGGCUGCUGAUAAGGUUGAGGCAGAGGAUCCCAAGCGAGCAAGGAGUGGCUAGGAUGUGUUAAAUGUUGGUUUUUAUGGUUACUAAAACUCUCUGCUUUGGUUUUUUUAAUUUCAUACUUUGAUUUUGCAUCUUUAAGUUUGUUGUCUGAACAUUGAAGUUUUGUUGGAUUUGAAUCUUUCACGAAUUUGGUUGUUUAAAUACAAAAUGUGUUCUAAAGUAUUUACGAUUUUUGUUGGUUUAGGUACCGUAAAUACUUAUGACAAGAGAAAGUAUUUGUAGCUUAUUGGUUUUUACCAAUUUUGAUAAGAAAUGUUUUUUUAAUAUUAUAUUUAAUUUUAUUGUGUAUAUAGACAAAAAGUAAGAAUGUAUAUUAGUGAAUUAAGAAUUUCUUAAUCAAUAUUUGAUUAGAGCGAUAAAAUGAUAGAAAUGGUGGACAUGUCAAAUAUAAUGCAAGGAUUUGUUAUUAUCAUAUUUUAUUUGCUCAUCUGAUAUUAUGUGUGUCAUAUGCAGUCUGAUCAAAUGUAAGCGUGUCUAAAUGAUUUUGGUUAGAUCGUAGUAGUUAUGGAAUAAUAAGGAUACAAGCCAUCUAAUCUAUUAAAAGUGAAGUACAAAUUUGAAUUAACCCAUAAUUUACUUUAAUAUUUACAACUCAUGCCACUCCCUUUAAUUAAAGAUUUUCUAAUUAAAUAUAUAACAUACGAUUGGGUUCAAAAUCUUUGCAAAUGGGCUCAAAAUUACUUGCGUUUGUUUAAAUUCAUUUGGGACAAACUUUUUUCGUGUUAAUUAGUUCGUAUGAACUGUAUAACCAAUCGUAUAUGUUUGGUUAUCAAAACAAUUAUAAAUCAAAGUGAUCGGAUUUAUAUCAAAUGUAUUUAAUUCCUUGAUCAUGGCAUUAGCUCAUAAGUCAUAAUGGAAUCAUUUGCUAAACCAGCUAGACAAUUCUUGCGUUCAAAUUUUUAAAAGAACCAUUAUAAUUUUCGUACAGUCACGAUGCAACCAAUCUUCUUUAUGAUUAAAAUAUAAUAAUUCAACUAGAUUUUGACCCGCGCUUUCAAAACGC